AAAUGAUACAGAUCAGUACACUAGUAAUAUAAAACAAUGUUAAUAUUCAAAAGCUCUGGGUGCAAAAUUUAAAACUAAUUAAAAAAAAAGAAAAAAAAGCAAUACAUGUGUAUUAAAACAUUAAAAUUUUAAUAAAUUAUCUGUCUGCAUACUGAGGGAAUACAAAUGUGAUGGUAGGGGAAAGCAAUGUUUCCUUCUUUCAAAAUGUUCAGAGUAAGACUUAGAAGCAAAAUUCAAAGGAAGGCUCCCAGCCUUGUAAACAGCUAAUGUUGUAAGAAGCAAGAGAGAUUUUGGUUUUGUUUACUUGUCAAACUGGCUGUUCCAAAGCUAUUGGGCUCUUUCAGCUGCUACCCAGCCUGUGUGCAGUGCCCAGACUGCCAGAGAUCACACAGCCCCUGGGAAGAGAGGCUGCAAUGUGCUGACAGAGGGGGCUGUGCUGAGCUCAGGGGAGGUCUCAAAUAGGCAGAAUGGACUGGUCUCCAGUUUCUCCAUGAGUGAUUUUAUAUUAUUAUGAAUUCAACAUACAUGAUAGGAAAUAGCAAAUAUGCUCCUGCUGAGACAAUGCUUCUGUGACUACAUGAGGUAUUUGGAAU
rnacentral:lncRNA from 1 species